GUACAUGUAUGGUGUCUCUGUAAUCAAAUAAUGUAAAUUUUCUCAACUCCCCAGCUGCUUCUUCAAAUCCUUUUCCCUCCUAGAAACAGAGUAUUCAUAAGCCUUCACCAACCUCUUCCGAAACCGUGGUAAGUCCAGCUUCACCUUCUGCCCAUCCAAGUAGACCCUCUUCGUCGUCUCCCAUCCCCUCGCAUUCACACUCUCCGGAUCCCUCAACACUGCAUCAUCCCUCCUAUACUCCUUGUACAGCGAGCUCUCCCGCGGCCGGAUACGGUAUGGAAUAUACUUCAGCCCCAUUUUCACAGCCGGUUCACCGUAGUAUGCUCCGGCCGCCCACUCUGUCCCCAACGGCACCACCUGUAUGAACACCGCCCCCGGACGCAUAAACAGCAGGUGCGUCAUUGCUGCUCCGUGCACCCCCACCAUCACAUCACAUCUGUCUAUCGCCUCGUAG
rnacentral:misc_RNA from 1 species